rnacentral:rRNA from 1 species
CAAUAGCGUAUAUUUAAGUUGUUGCAGUUAAAAAGCUCGUAGUUGGAUUUCGGGUGGGACGCAGCGGUCUCGCAUUGCGUUUGUACUGCUGCAGCCCUCCUUCUUGCCGGGGGCGGCCUCUCGGACUUCACUGUCUGGGGGUCAGAAUCGGCGAUGUUACUUUGAGUAAAUUAGAGUGUUCAAAGCAAGCUUACGCUCUGAAUAUAAUAGCAUGGGAUAACACGGCAGGACUCUGGCCUAUCGUGUUGGUCUAUAGGACCAGAGUAAUGAUUAAGAGGGACAGUCGGGGGCAUUCGUAUUCCGUUGUCAGAGGUGAAAUUCUUGGAUUUACGGAAGACGAACAUCUGCGAAAGCAUUUGCCAAGGAUGUUUUCAUUGA